GUUGGGUUAAGUCCCGCAACGAGCGCAACCCUUAUCCUUUGUUGCCAGCGGUCCGGCCGGGAACUCAAAGGAGACUGCCAGUGAUAAACUGGAGGAAGGUGGGGAUGACGUCAAGUCAUCAUGGCCCUUACGAGUAGGGCUACACACGUGCUACAAUGGCGUAUACAAAGAGAAGCGACCUCGCGAGAGCAAGCGGACCUCAUAAAGUACGUCGUAGUCCGGAUUGGAGUCUGCAACUCGACUCCAUGAAGUCGGAAUCGCUAGUAAUCGUAGAUCAGAAUGCUACGGUGAAUACGUUCCCGGG
rnacentral:rRNA from 1 species